UAGCUUCUUCAGCAUUUCAACUUCCAUGCUUGCUUGAACAAGUCCUGUUAUGCUUUUCCACAGCUUUCUUGAACUUCUUAUGCCUAAUGCAGCUAUUGAUGUGGCAUUGAAGUUUAAGAAAAAUGUGGAAAAACAUGUCAAAUCUAGGACU
rnacentral:pre_miRNA from 1 species